UCCCCUACGGGAGGCAGCAGUAAGGGAUAUUGGUCAAUGGGGGAAACCCUGAACCAGCAACGCCGCGUGAGGGAAGACGGUUUUCGGAUUGUAAACCUCUGUCCUCUGUGAAGAUGAUGACGGUAGCAGAGGAGGAAGCUCCGGCUAACUACGUGCCAGCAGCCGCGGUAAUACGUAGGGAGCGAGCGUUGUCCGGAUUUACUGGGUGUAAAGGGAGCGUAGACGGCAAUACAAGUCGGAAGUGAAAUACCCGGGCUCAACCUGGGAACUGCUUUGGAAACUGUAUGGCUAGAGUGCUGGAGAGG
rnacentral:rRNA from 1 species